GAUGAACGCUGGCGGCGUGCCUAAUACAUGCAAGUCGAGCGAACAGACGAGGAGCUUGCUCCUCUGACGUUAGCGGCGGACGGGUGAGUAACACGUGGAUAACCUACCUAUAAGACUGGGAUAACUUCGGGAAACCGGAGCUAAUACCGGAUAAUAUAUUGAACCGCAUGAUUCAAUAGUGAAAGACGGUUUUGCUGUCACUUAUAGAUGGAUCCGCGCCGCAUUAGCUAGUUGGUAAGGUAACGACUUACCAAGGCAACGAUGCGUAGCCGACCUGAGAGGGUGAUCGGCCACACUGGAACUGAGACACGGUCCAGACUCCUACGGGAGGCAGCAGUAGGGAAUCUUCCGCAAUGGGCGAAAGCUUGACGGAGCAACGCCGCGUGAGUGAUGAAGGUCUUCGGAUCGUAAAACUCUGUUAUUAGGGAAGAACAAAUGUGUAAGUAACUAUGCACGUCUUGACGGUACCUAAUCAGAAAGCCACGGCUAACUACGUG
rnacentral:rRNA from 1 species